rnacentral:pre_miRNA from 7 species
CUAUAUAUACCCUGUAGAACCGAAUUUGUGUGGUACCCACAUAGUCACAGAUUCGAUUCUAGGGGAAUAUAUGGU